AUAAUUACCUUUUCACCGGUACUCCGCAGUUCAAAGGUCCUUUGUACAGCCAAGUGCAGGGGAAAUGCUGUACGACUCUGUACACUAGAAUCCUGUACAUGAUGUAAGGGUUUUACAUGAUCAUGUCGAAGUCCAGCUAUAACUUGGAUAAUGAUAUUCAGGUGUACGGUACGGUAGGGAGGUUUACUCCUGGCUGGUAUGGAGAAGAUGGUAUACAAAAUAACAG